rnacentral:tRNA from 1 species
AGUCUUAUAUUCAUAUAAUAUGAUUUAAAAUCGCAAAUUUUAGGGAGUACAUAAAAUAAUUACUAAGGCUU